ACGAACCGUACAAACGUUACUCGGAAUUACUGGGCUUAAAGGGUGCGUAGGCUGCGCGGAAAGUUGGAUGUGAAAGCCCUCAGCUCAACUGGGGAAUUGCAUUCAAAACUACCGUGCUCGAGGGAGACAGAGGUAAGCGGAACUCAAGGUGGAGCGGUGAAAUGCGUUGAUAUCUUGAGGAACACCGGUGGCGAAAGCGGCUUACUGGGUCUCUUCUGACGCUGAGGCACGAAAGCUAAGGUAGCAAACGGGAUUAGAUACCCCGGUAGUCUUAGCUGUAAACGAUGAGCACUUGAUUGAAGGGUCCUCCAUAGCCUUUCAGUCGUAGCGAAAGUGUUAAGUGCUCCGCCUGGGGAGUAUGGUCGCAAGGCUG
rnacentral:rRNA from 1 species